CUUAGACACUCUUAGAUAGACACACUCACUUAGACACUCGGAUACACCCUCAAGGUGUUCGCCAAGGUGACUCACUUAGACACUCUCACUUAGACACUCUCUUAGAUAGACACACUUAGAUAGAGACUCACUUAGACACUCGGAUACACCCUGAAGGUGUUCGCCAAGGUGACUCACUUAGACACUCUCUUAGAUAGACACACUCACUUAGACACUCGGAUACACCCUCAAGGUGUUCGCCAAGGUGACUCACUUAGACACUCUCACUUAGACACACUCACUUAGACACUUGGAUACACCCUCAAGGUGUUCGCCAAGGUGACUCACUUAGACACUCUC